UUAGGAAUCUUCCCCAAUGGACGAAAGUCUGAGGGAGCGACGCCGCGUGAGGGAUGAAGGUUUUCGGAUCGUAAACCUCUGAAUCUGGGACGAAAGACCGCGAAGAGCGGAGAUGACGGUACCAGAGUAAUAGCACCGGCUAACUCCGUGCCAGUAGCCGCGGUAAUACGGAGGGUGCAAGCGUUACCCGGAAUCACUGGGCGUAAAGGGCGUGUAGGCGGCCUGCCAAGUCUGGUUUUAAAGCCUGCGGCUCAACCGCAGAGAUGGACUGGAGACUGGUAGGCUAGACCUCUGGAGAGAGAACUGGAAUUCCUGGUGUAGCGGUGGAAUGCGUAGAUACCAGGAGGAACACCGAUGGCGAAGGCAGGUUCUUGGACAGAAGGUGACGCUGAGGCGCGAAAGUGUGGGGAGCAAACA
rnacentral:rRNA from 1 species